AUGGCGCUAUUCCGGGCCUCCACGACUAUCACCAUCGAAGAUGGGAAGCGUGCCAGUUUCUAGAAGGAUAAGUGGAUCGGUGAUUCUCCCCUAUGCACUCGUCCCCCUGAGCUCUACAAGAUUGCUACAAGAAAGAACAGGACGGUUUGUGAAGAUCUGGAGGGGGAUUGCUGGAUUACUGCCAUUGCCCGGUUGAGCACUGCCGUCCAGCUCUGCGAAUUCCUUGACAUUUGGCAGCUUCUACAGACCACCGGCAUUGACCCCUCCCAUCCAGACUCCAUCUGCUGGAACUGGACGGGUUCAGGGGAGUACUCCAGCAAGUUUGCCUACCAUACGCAGUUCUCUGGUCGCUUGGUGCCUUUCCGCUCUGCUAAGGUUUGGAAAGCACAAGCCACCCCCAAAUUCAAGCUCUUUGCCUGGCUUGUCCUGCAUGGAAGGAUCCUCAUGUCCAAAAAACUGCAAUCUGUGGAUGGCCACACAAUCUGA
rnacentral:rRNA from 1 species